rnacentral:rRNA from 1 species
AUUGAACGCUGGCGGUAUGCUUAACACAUGCAAGUCGAACGGUAACAGGCCUUCGGGCGCUGACGAGUGGCGGACGGUGAGUAACGCGUAGGAAUCUGCCUCAUAGUGGGGACAACGUGGGGAAACUCACGCUAAUACCGCAUACGCCCUACGGGGAAAGCGGGGGAGUCUUCGGACCUCGCGCUAUGAGAUGAGCCCGCGUUAGAUUAGCUAGUUGGUAGGGUAAAGGCCUACCAAGGCGACGAUCUAUAGCUGGUCUGAGAGGACGAUCAGCCACACUGGGACUGAGACACGGCCCAGACUCCUACGGGAGGCAGCAGUGGGGAAUAUUGGACAAUGGGCGCAAGCCUGAUCCAGCAAUACCGCGUGUGUGAAGAAGGCCUUAGGGUUGUAAAGCACUUUCAAUUGGGAGGAAAACCUGCCGUCAAUACCCGGUAGCUUGACAUUACCUUUAGAAGAAGCA